UUGCCAUUUUUCAGUCAUUUUGUAUUACAAAUGGGAAAUUGAUAAUCAGUUUGAUUAUCUGAUUAUCAAUUUCCCAUUUGUAAUGCAAAAUGACUGAAAAAUGGCAAACUUU